rnacentral:rRNA from 1 species
AGCGUACACGGUGGAUGCCCUGGCAGUCAGAGGCGAUGAAGGACGUGCUAAUCUGCGAUAAGCGUCGGUAAGGUGAUAUGAACCGUUAUAACCGGCGAUUUCCGAAUGGGGAAACCCAGUGUGUUUCGACACACUAUCAUUAACUGAAUCCAUAGGUUAAUGAGGCGAACCGGGGGAACUGAAACAUCUAAGUACCCCGAGGAAAAGAAAUCAACCGAGAUUCCCCCAGUAGCGGCGAGCGAACGGGGAGGAGCCCAGAGCCUGAAUCAGUGUGUGUGUUAGUGGAAGCGUCUGGAAAGGCGCGCGAUACAGGGUGACAGCCCCGUACACAAAAAUGCACAUACUGUGAGCUCGAUGAGUAGGGCGGGACACGUGGUAUCCUGUCUGAAUAUGGGGGGACCAUCCUCCAAGGCUAAAUACUCCUGACUGACCGAUAGUGAACCAGUACCGUGAGGGAAAGGCGAAAAGAACCCCGGCGAGGGGAGUGAAAAAGAACCUGAAACCGUGUACGUACAAGCAGUGGGAGCCUCUUUUAUGGGGUGACUGCGUACCUUUUGUAUAAUGGGUCAGCGACUUAUAUUCUGUAGCAAGGUUAACCGAAUAGGGGAGCCGAAGGGAAACCGAGUCUUAACUGGGCGUUAAGUUGCAGGGUAUAGACCCGAAACCCGGUGAUCUAGCCAUGGGCAGGUUGAAGGUUGGGUAACACUAACUGGAGGACCGAACCGACUAAUGUUGAAAAAUUAGCGGAUGACUUGUGGCUGGGGGUGAAAGGCCAAUCAAACCGGGAGAUAGCUGGUUCUCCCCGAAAGCUAUUUAGGUAGCGCCUCGUGAAUUCAUCUCCGGGGGUAGAGCACUGUUUCGGCAAGGGGGUCAUCCCGACUUACCAACCCGAUGCAAACUGCGAAUACCGGAGAAUGUUAUCACGGGAGACACACGGCGGGUGCUAACGUCCGUCGUGAAGAGGGAAACAACCCAGACCGCCAGCUAAGGUCCCAAAGUCAUGGUUAAGUGGGAAACGAUGUGGGAAGGCCCAGACAGCCAGGAUGUUGGCUUAGAAGCAGCCAUCAUUUAAAGAAAGCGUAAUAGCUCACUGGUCGAGUCGGCCUGCGCGGAAGAUGUAACGGGGCUAAACCAUGCACCGAAGCUGCGGCAGCGACACUAUGUGUUGUUGGGUAGGGGAGCGUUCUGUAAGCCUGUGAAGGUGUACUGUGAGGUAUGCUGGAGGUAUCAGAAGUGCGAAUGCUGACAUAAGUAACGAUAAAGCGGGUGAAAAGCCCGCUCGCCGGAAGACCAAGGGUUCCUGUCCAACGUUAAUCGGGGCAGGGUGAGUCGACCCCUAAGGCGAGGCCGAAAGGCGUAGUCGAUGGGAAACAGGUUAAUAUUCCUGUACUUGGUGUUACUGCGAAGGGGGGACGGAGAAGGCUAUGUUGGCCGGGCGACGGUUGUCCCGGUUUAAGCGUGUAGGCUGGUUUUCCAGGCAAAUCCGGAAAAUCAAGGCUGAGGCGUGAUGACGAGGCACUACGGUGCUGAAGCAACAAAUGCCCUGCUUCCAGGAAAAGCCUCUAAGCAUCAGGUAACAUCAAAUCGUACCCCAAACCGACACAGGUGGUCAGGUAGAGAAUACCAAGGCGCUUGAGAGAACUCGGGUGAAGGAACUAGGCAAAAUGGUGCCGUAACUUCGGGAGAAGGCACGCUGAUAUGUAGGUGAAGCGACUUGCUCGUGGAGCUGAAAUCAGUCGAAGAUACCAGCUGGCUGCAACUGUUUAUUAAAAACACAGCACUGUGCAAACACGAAAGUGGACGUAUACGGUGUGACGCCUGCCCGGUGCCGGAAGGUUAAUUGAUGGGGUCAGCGCAAGCGAAGCUCUUGAUCGAAGCCCCGGUAAACGGCGGCCGUAACUAUAACGGUCCUAAGGUAGCGAAAUUCCUUGUCGGGUAAGUUCCGACCUGCACGAAUGGCGUAAUGAUGGCCAGGCUGUCUCCACCCGAGACUCAGUGAAAUUGAACUCGCUGUGAAGAUGCAGUGUACCCGCGGCAAGACGGAAAGACCCCGUGAACCUUUACUAUAGCUUGACACUGAACAUUGAGCCUUGAUGUGUAGGAUAGGUGGGAGGCUUUGAAGUGUGGACGCCAGUCUGCAUGGAGCCGACCUUGAAAUACCACCCUUUAAUGUUUGAUGUUCUAACGUUGACCCGUGAUCCGGGUUGCGGACAGUGUCUGGUGGGUAGUUUGACUGGGGCGGUCUCCUCCUAAAGAGUAACGGAGGAGCACGAAGGUUGGCUAAUCCUGGUCGGACAUCAGGAGGUUAGUGCAAUGGCAUAAGCCAGCUUGACUGCGAGCGUGACGGCGCGAGCAGGUGCGAAAGCAGGUCAUAGUGAUCCGGUGGUUCUGAAUGGAAGGGCCAUCGCUCAACGGAUAAAAGGUACUCCGGGGAUAACAGGCUGAUACCGCCCAAGAGUUCAUAUCGACGGCGGUGUUUGGCACCUCGAUGUCGGCUCAUCACAUCCUGGGGCUGAAGUAGGUCCCAAGGGUAUGGCUGUUCGCCAUUUAAAGUGGUACGCGAGCUGGGUUUAGAACGUCGUGAGACAGUUCGGUCCCUAUCUGCCGUGGGCGCUGGAGAACUGAGGGGGGCUGCUCCUAGUACGAGAGGACCGGAGUGGACGCAUCACUGGUGUUCGGGUUGUCAUGCCAAUGGCACUGCCCGGUAGCUAAAUGCGGAAGAGAUAAGUGCUGAAAGCAUCUAAGCACGAAACUUGCCCCGAGAUGAGUUCUCCCUGACUCCUUGA